rnacentral:lncRNA from 1 species
UUUGAUAGUUGUCCUUGUUACUGGUUCAGAAUUUUUGGGGCCCUUCAGAUAGAAGGGGUUGUUUCUGAUUCUUCUUCUAUAAGGUUAGACCUUUCCUAUACUGGAUUGAAAUUAGCUUUUUAGGUUUUAUUCAGUAGUGCCCUGACGCUUAUUUGUUUUGGGCUUCGUAGGUUCACUAAACAUAAGAGGUGGCUUAAAUCUGGUGACUUACAAGGUGUCCGGUGUGGACGUGCCCAAUAUUUCAAUCUAGUUGUACACCAUUACUGUCUAGGUGAGUUCAAUCUCUCAUAGAAUUUCUUUAUGGAACUCCAAUUUUUACCGACUAUCCUAUUCUGGUUGGGUAGUACAGUUGGUUAGUUCUUGCUAACAUUUUGGAGUUGACCACCUAGCAUAGUUUCUUUCUUUUUUCCUGUGUGUGCAGAUGUUUGCGAUCUUGUAAUUUUCUUAUUGUUAUCAUAUUAUAAUAUGGCCGGGGUGAAGUGGUAUCUUGGUCGUACCUAUGGACAAGUUGCAGUAAGUAUCUUGUCGACUAGUGAGGCCCCAAUAAAAUGUUAAUUUUGUUAUGAAUAUCAGAACAUGAUCUCCAGCAGCACAACUACAUGUCCAAUCUACAGAACAACACACUUGUUCUGAAAAUGAAUGUUAGUGAACAACCAUGUGAAUGAUGGUGAAAACAUAUGUAUACUUUCCAACACAUGGGAUCUCGUUAUGGCCCCAUGACUUGAGAAUAACAUAUCAUCAGCCUAGCUAUUAUGCUUGUGCAUGAACGAAACCUCUUUUUUUUAGGAUAAAAUAAAUAUAUCAAAAAUCAGCCAUCAGGGUUACAAUCUGAUUGUAGAAUUUCUUUCAGGUCCAAAGGAACUUCUGCCAUGAAGAAAAAAAUCACUAGAUGUUCUAACCAAGUCAGCAAGGCUAUGUGCCAGCUUACUCUGCUUUCUACUCACCCAUCCAAUCUGAAACGAACUCAAAGAGUUCAGGACAGCCUGAAUGUCAUUGACUAUGGAGAAAAGACUGGAUUGGUUAUGGAUGCCAGGUUCCAAUGCUUUGGCCAGAGCCAUACAGUCUAGCUCCACCAAAAUUGCCCCAUUAAAAAAUCUAGAUAACUCUCUCAGACUGGUCAAGAGAGCCAACCCCUUAGCUUCUUCCACACUAGCGCGCAUACUAAUGCAGCGCCCCGUGGAAAAGAAAGGUUGUCCUUGAGAGUUUCGGACAACAGUCCCCAUCGUACUUGAUCAAGAAGCACCGAGGUAGGAUGCGUCAGAAUUCAGUUUUAUAAUUCCAGUACGAGGGGGCAUCCACUUCGAGAAAACAAGGAUAGGAGGGUGCAGGCGUCUAUACUGAAAAAAAUAGCACGCUAUAUCGCCGCUAAUAGCAUGCUACAGCAUAUAUAGAAUUGAUUCGCUAAAUUGAUCAAUGUACAAUAUCUCGUUAAUAGCACGCUAAUAGCAUAUUUUUAGGGGCGACAGUAUUUUGUAUAGCGCGCUAUUUUUUUCAUUGCGUCUAUCCCUAAAAUGGUUGCUGCAGUUUUGGUGAAUCUCAUUUUUCGGGAACAACUGGAAGUUACGAAUUUCCUCUUUGAACGGUAUCAAAAAAAGACACCGAGCCUGAUUUAGAUACGUUGCCAAUACUGUGACCAAUAUUAUCCCAUAAGAACCACGCUCUCCCCAAGAUGCGAAGGAAUUUUGUUCGGGUGUCUUGUUUACAUGCAUUAAGGUAGACAGUUAAACUAUUACUAUUGAAAGACAGCUACAUUUUAUUCAUAGUAAUGUUCCCAAUAAUGAAAACAUAACAAAAAAUGGGGUCAUCGGAAGAUGUACGAUAUGGAGUCUCCUUUUGUUACUUCCUGCUUUUCUUAUACACCCUAUGAACAAAAUAAUGGACCCCUUGCAAAUUUACAUUUCAGAGUAAUGAUUAUUAGUUCAUCGUUUUCACUAUGAAAUUUGAAUCACUUGAUGUAUUCCUAGUACCUCCACGGUAUGGAAUGAGUUGCUAUUUGAUUUGAUAAGGAAUAAAUGUGGCUAGACUUAAUUUUGUUGAUUGUAGGGGCAAAAAUUACUUAAAAAUAUGAUUCUUUGAGUUGAAAUCUGAAUUAAUCGUCUUCAUAUCUAUGGGAGUGACUGUCAUAAGGUCGAGUAGAACUACAGAAUUGUUGGCUUUGAAUCGCUGGAUCAAAUCACCCGGGAGACACACAGCGUACAAAGCUAGCUAGAUAAGCUAGCAAGGAGGCAGCUUGAUGGAUUCUGCCAGCCAGGCUUGUACGUGUUGUAUAACCGGCAACUCUCGACGUAACUAGCGACAGAAAGAUACGAUGAAAGCUGGAUUGAGGAGACUACUUUUGCGGUGCGUAACUUACACCUUUUUAGAUUUUACUCUACGUAUAUAAAGGGAUACAAGGACUUGCCGCGUCCAACACGAUGCCGACUCGGUUGGCAACCAACACAACGCAGCCCGGACUCGUACAACAACCAGUCCAGUUUACAACUCUUUCUACUAUUCUACGUUUAGACUCAACUAGGUUAAUUACCACAUUCACCUCUUUAACCUUGUUGCUUUGUCUCCAGUGCUUGCACUCCGACUUUCUUCCUCAUCUCGAUGAACUUCUUCGACCGAGGGACUUGGUGAAAAUAUCGGCAAGCUGGUCCUUCGUAUUCACGUGCAGAACUUCUAUCAUCCCU